UUGGAACUUGCUUUCCUGUCCGAGUUUGACCCCCCUGCAAGAACAUGAAAAGAUGGCGACAUAUUUAAAACGAACGUCAAAAUUAUUUGAUAUUUCGUUGUUGCGGUCUUCCGCAGAUGUGAAUUUAAGGGAUUUAAUGUGUCCCGUGUGCCGCGGUAUAUUAAUCGAGCCAGUGACACUUCCUUGUACACAUAACCUCUGUUUACGGUGCUUGAAAGGAACCUUUGAACAUAACAGCCUGAGUUGUCCUCUUUGCAGAGUUCGUGUAGGUUCUUGGCUUCGUACAGCUACCAAAUCUGAAACAUUGGUCAACAACGCACUUUGGGAACUUAUCAGGACUAAAUUUCCCAAAGAGGUUGAAGAUAAAUAUAACGGAGACGACGGAGAAAUUGAAUUGAAUGCUGGAUUAUCAACCAGGAAUAAAAUACUUAGUGCUGCUGGAGAGAUUCGAAGAGAAUAUGAAGCACAACUUCAAAUGGCUGAAGAAGAAAUGCGACGUCAAAGAAAGAACGAAGAAAUUGCUAGUGUGGCAUUGAUAAGAAAAAUUCAGGUUGAAGAACAGCAGCAACAAUUUGUGCAGAUAGCACAAGAUCAAUUAUUAGCUCAGAGUUUAGCAAAAAAACAAUUAGCAGAGAAACAAAAAGAGGUGACAAUGUACCAAAAUGAAUGUGCAACUUCAUCAGUGUCAAAUUGUUCAGUUGAUACAUCUAAGUUUGAUACUAAAUCAAUGCCCUUGCUUAAUACAGAAAUUUUUAAAUUUGAUGGGCCAAGUUUGGAAACGAGAAAAAUGAAUCUUUCAGAGUUAAAAAAUGGUUCUGAGUUAAGACGCUCGAAUAUUGCUUUGAUAUCCAAAAUUCGUGCAGAAAGAUAUGCAUCAAGUGUAAAACCAAAUACAUCAAAUGCAUAUAAAGACUCUACUGCUAAGUUUUGUUGUCAAAAGUCAAUGCCUGUUUAUAACACUAUUGCAAGAACUUUAAAGCAUCAAGUGGUAACUAAAUUUACUCAGCCUGGAACUUCAAAUUAUGCUUUGGAACCGGGAUGUUCCACUUCUAAAAUUUAUGGUAUGCAAAGUAAAGAAGAAUUACGUGUACCCAGUGAUGUUUUAAGUAGUAAAAAGAAAAGUUUAGGUGUAGAAGUUUGCAUGACCUCAGGAAAUGGUGAUGAAAGAAUUGGUAGUGCUGAAAGUGCAGGUAGUCAUGAUAGUAUCAAUCAAGAAAUACAUCACUUUAAACCUAUUAAGGCAAUGCCACGAACACCUUUCAAAAUGUCCAUAGAUGGAAAACAAAUUGAACCAAAAUUGGUUAGAGUAAUACCCGUUUUGAAAAGAAUAUCAAAUGCUUUACCAAAAGCUCCAUCUCCAACUCAUUUAAAGAGAAUUAUUGGAUGUUCAUGGAGUGCUUUUAAAGGUAAGAUCAGGCAAGAUAUGAAAAUAAAGGAGAAUGUGUGUGAUACUAGAGAGAGAAUAGAUGAUGUUGAACAAAAUCCAUCAACCUCUCUUACCCAACAACCCAAUGUUAUUGUUAACAGAUCAUCAAAGUCUCAAAUACAUGAUGCUAUACGCAGACUUGAUUUGGUUCCUGAACUAUCAUUUGAUAGUAAUAAGAAUUAUGCAAAGAAUAUAAAUAGAACAAUUAAUGGUACUAAAGUAAGUAAAAAAUUAAUCUUAGACGAGCAUGUAACUUCAGGGAAGGUGCAAAAGACUUGGAGAUCACAAAUUAAAAAUGGUAUGAUGGGAAAAAGUAAGAGACAAAAGAAUAUAUGGUCAAAUAAAAAAGAUGUGGAAUUUGCAUUAGAUGAAGAAGAAAUGAAUGAUAAUGUAACAAAUUCUGACCCUUCAUUUAACAAUGCUAAAGAACGUUUAGAAUGUAAUGAACAUUUAGAAUGUAAUGAACAGGAAGAAGAUAGUAGAGAUAAUGUAGCUGUAGAAAACAUUGCAGAAAGAAUUAAAAAGAGAAAAGUAAAUAUUAAAAGAAAGAAUUCACAAGUUGAACAAGAUAAAAUAAUUGAAGCAGACAGUGGCGACGAGAGCAAACCUACGAAUAAAAGAGGUAUAAGGAAAAGAGCUUUAUCUAGAAAAGGUAAUAAUCAAACUUCAACAAGUGAACGAUCCGCAGUUACUGUACAGAAAAGGAUAAAGUUAAAUUGUUCGCACAAGCCUACAUUAAGGAAUAAAAGUGAAAACAUAAAAAAUGACGUAGAUAGUCUCAAUACAAGUUGCAAGACAAUUAUUCAUGGAUUAAGAAAGUCAAGUCGGAAUAUCAAAGCAGUAGUCAAUAACUCUUCCAAAAAAUAUGAUCAAGAUGUUUUAAAUAAAGAAAAUCCUAACAACAAUAAACAUAAUUAUGACCGAUUAAACUCGUGUCUCGUGUCACAAGGAACUAUAUCAAAUAAUAAUACCAAUAGUGCUACAAUAAUCAAUGAGAACGUUCUAUCGAACGAAGAAGUAAUUAAAGAACAAGAAAGAAUAGAAAGAUUGGUUCUUCAAGAGAAAGAAGAUUUUGAAUUGGCUCAAAGAUUACAAACUAAAUUUGAUGAAAUGGAACGAAUAGCUGGACGUACACGGCGAUCUAGAAAAGCGAUUGAAAGUGGAGAUAUUUCUUUAGAUUUAUACAAAAUAGAAGUAGGAAGAACUGUGCAUAAAGUAGCUAGUACACAUACUGCCAAACGAUCAACCCUUAAUCAAACUGUAAGCAGUGAAACUAAACAACGUGGUAGGCCUCGGAAGAGUGUGAAAUAAAUAAAAAAAUUUGUUACUGCAUUUCAACUAAAAACCCUCCAAGACGGAUGUUCCUAUAAAAUAUAAAAUACAAUUUCAAUUUCAUUUUCUACAAUAUAUAUUUUAAGUAUUUUGAAGAAAAUACUUGCACGAUAUAAUAUGCGUACCUGGAUAUAUUAUGACAACUGUAAAUGAAGGAUCAGAAAACUUAAAAGAAAUUUUAAGAGAAUAAAUAUAGUCAUUGACAUACAUAUUUCAUUGAAGAUUGACAAACUUGGGUUUGAUCGAAAGUUUGUUUUCAUGAUUUUUAUGGAUUACUAAUUAUUUAAAGAUCUUAUCGUUUAUAAGUAACUUUAUGUUAAUAUAAAACUAUUCGCGCAAAAAUCAAAAUGAGAAAUGGCAGUAGGUGUUUCAAUACUGUAGAAUUUAAAGCAAUACGGAUGCUUGCAUACAAAAAAAAAAAAGAAGAAGAAAAAAAAAGCAGAGAUACCAAGAUUCUUCAAAGAAAGAAAAAAGAUUUCUCUAUUAACUCUCAUUCUUUUCGUGUGUUCGUCUUUGCUACAAGUAUCGAUUCUUUCUCGGCGUUGAAAGUGCCAAAUACAUGACGGAUAUAAACGCAGCUAAUAGUGUUGACGACAAACCGAGAAAAGGACGAUAAUGAUUAUUAAAGAAAAAAGAGAAGGGACUUUAAUGAGAUCACAGAUCUUUGCUGAAAAGAUAUCACAUGCCUUUUGAUAAUUUGUUUCAAUAUAAUAUAUUUCUUUACUUUUCUUAAAUAGUUAACAAUUCAUAUAAAUCUAGUUCAAUGACUUAUAGAAUACACAUCAACCAGUAUUUCAAUAUUAACUGAUUACCUGCCUUUAUAUUUUCUGAAUAUCGAAGAUAAUAUUUAUUAACAUCUUAAGGAAACAAAAUGCUUCCAGAAGUUAGAAAUUCAGCUCGUUUGACUGUUAAAUACACAAACUACCUUUUUCAAUGCAGCAUCAUUACAAGCUCACAUGCCAUUGUAUAUACGAAUUUUACUACGUACUAUGUAUAUAUUAAUUGGCAGCAAUUUCAAAAAAGAAAAAAAAGAAAAAAAGAAAAAAAAAGAAAAAAGAAAAAAAGAAGAAUAUAGAUAUUCAUUUAAAUAAUAUUAGAUAGAUAAAUAUGUGUUUAGAUCAUAUUUAUGCUGCAAAUGCCUACUGUCAGCUCUGACGGCCUUAAUUAUGAUACUGCUAUUAUUGUAAAUAUAUUAAGAUUAGGAUUAUAUAUGCUAAAAAAAAAAGAAAUCAUAAUGAAUAUGAAAGUUACUAAAGAGACGAAAUAUUUUGCUCUAUAUGACAAAUUCUAAAUGUUUCUAAAUGAAAUUAACUGAACAGUUAUAUUAGAAAAGAUUAAGCGACAGUUCCUUUGAUAGAAUUUCAUUAUUAGUGAUCCUUAUCUUUUUAUAGAUCACUUAUACAGAUAAUGUUAUCAUAUUGUGCGUUAAGAAUUGGCAAUUAGCUUUCAUUUAUUGUGAUAGUUACAGUAUUUUUCAUCUCCACAAUUUCGGUUUCUUUAUUUAGUAAGAUUAACAUAAUAGUUCGUGAAGUCUUCAUUAAUAUUAUUGAUGGUAAAGAUCAAUAUUAUUAGUGUCAUAACAUUUUAUGAUACUUUUCUAAUAAUUAGUACUCUUAUAUUUUAUGGUGUAACAUACGCAUAAAUAAGUUCGGUUGCAAGUAUAAAUAUGUUCUAAUUUUAAGUGAAUAUAACCGAACUUAUUUAUAUUAUGACCCAAUAUGUACAAGGCAAUAUUUUUUUUCUGCUAUGUCAGAGCUUUUUAAUUAUUGUAGUGUUGUAAAUGCUCAUAGUAUUUCAUAUUGAAGUAAAAUUCAUUGAAUAUAUAUAUAUAUAUCCAUAUAUAUAAUAUAUGGAAAACUAUCAGAUGGUCCUAUGGCAUAUAAUUAUUAGCUCUUUCUUGCGAUAUACAGCUUUAAUAAAAAAAGCUAUCUUCUAAACAGUUUAUAAAUGUUUAAAACGUUCACUGUUUUUUGUUUUUCUAAAACUGUUAGAUAAUUUAUUUUUUCGUAAAUUUUUUCGUAUUUUGAGUUACUAUAAUUAUAAAUGAUAAGCGGUUAAUAAUAUCGCAUUCCAAAAUUAUGUCAAUGUUAAUAUGACAUUUGGAAGUAAAAAAUAGUCAUAGAUUAUACGAAGUUAUUUUAUAUAUAUAUUAAAUGUAAAAGCUAAAAGAAUAAUAACACGAUAUACCAUAGUCAUUACAUUUUGUUCCAAAUACAUGUAGACGACGCUAGUGCUCAGAGAUUAUUAUUAUUAUUAUUUAAAUAAUUAAUUCAAGGUCGUCAACAUAAGAAUAUAUAUAUAUAUAUAUAUAUAUUUAUAUAUAUAUAUUCUUUCUCCAUACGUACGCAUGUAUGUUCACACACGAUCAUCUUGUUGACAUAUACAUGCGUGCUCUUCUGUUAUGUAUGUAUGUGUGGAUACAUACGUACAUAUAUACAUAAUGUGAAUACAAUCUAAUAAUAAAUCGAAACGAAUCGUGUACAAUAAAAUUUUUGUGAGGUUGUUAAAUAACAGUAGAAGAGACAAUUAAAACGAUGUAGGUAGUAGGACUUGUUGAUAAUCGUACUAUAAACUAUAAUAAACAAAUAUAUAUAAUAAAAAUGAUAAACAUGUGCAUGGAAUUUAAGAAAUUAUAAGAUAUACGAAUAUAUAGAAAAAAUAUUUAGUUAUAGACAAACACUAAAAGAUAUUAUCAGUAUAUAACGUGUUAAUAAAAACACUAUUAUAGAUCGAAACGAGAAAUAAUCAUAAUUUUAAUUAAGAAAGAUUGCGUAAAUGUGUAAAAACACAUGCAUAUUAUGGAUUUUUAGAAAGUCAAUUUUAUAUGCUGAUAUGUAAUGUGUGACAGAGAAUGUAAAAGGAAAAACCAAGAGAAAAAAGCGAUAUUUGAAAACAUAGGGUUAUCAUCCUGUUUUCCUUGGUGCAUUUUAUAUAUGGAAACGAAUAAUAAAUAGUUGUAACUACUUCGAAGAUAGUGAUUAUUUCCGUAUUACUACUUUAUGCAUUUAUGAUUGAAGAAUGAGCUUUUAUAUAUACCUAAAUUUGUAUAUUUAACAAAGAGCGAAAUAUUUUGCAGAUAAUAUUUGUACAUGACAUAUACUUUUUCGAGCUUUCCACAUAUAAAUAAACCUAUUUUCCGUUUGGAAUAAAUCCGGUAAAAAAACUAUAACAAUAGCAUUUUGUAUUCAACGUAUAACAACACGUUUACGUCUAACGCUCCUUUUAAUAGUUUUAUUUAUAACUUCGUAAAUACAUAAUUAAUUCGUUCAGUCAAUUUAAAUAAUUACAUUGUAUUAUCUUUCGCAGUAAUCAAUAUUAUACAUUGAGUCGAUAAAUAUUAAAUUCGGUCGAUAAAACAGGAUCAAAUUAAAAUAUUAUAAUUUAUUUCAAAUUUUUAAUCUAUACACACACACACACACAAUAUUCUGUAAUUAUUCCUGUGAAGAAAUCAACUCAAUUUCUUUUUUAUUCUGUGUUUUCAAACAACCAUAAAAGGUAGCUGACUAAAACGUAAUAAAAUAUUCCAACCGAGCAUGAACAUUCGCGACUAGUAAUAUUCCUUUCGCGUAAUUUUUUUUCUUCGCAAUCGUAAACACGUUCAGAAAAACACAUUCAAUACGAUAUAAGCAAUUACAAAUUGUUAAUUUUAUUAAUUAGCGAUCUAAAAACAAAAAAUAUAUAUAUUUUAUUUGCUAUAAAAUUCAUCAAUAACUUGAAGAAUUCUACAUACGCACGAUGAAACGUGUCAUAACGUCGAUCAUAAUCGAUGAUAUAACACGUAUCGCAGUUUCGUAAUCGAGGUGCAAUCAACGACAGAAGAAAAGGUUUCUUUGAAAAAAAGAAAGAAAAACUAAUCAGUCAGUUAUUAAAAAAAGGUAAGCAAAUUUGGAGAGAAACAAAUUGAUGCAAAAGAUGGGAUAGUGCGUGUACGAUCUCGAUCACGAUAAUAACGAUCAUUGGAAUUUACGAAAAGAAUCAAAAGUGAAAACGAAGAAGGAGAAGAGUAGAAUAGAGAGGAGUACAGGAGAGGAGAAGCGAGGAGAAGAGAGGAAAGGAAAGGAAAGGAGAAGAGAAUAGUGCUCGAUCGGUGCAACGAAGUAAAAAAGAGAGAGGCGAAAACGAACGAUCGUGACGACCAUGGUAGCUGCAAUGUGACCGGUGUACCACGUGACCGAUAGGACCAAUCGGUUGUAAGAAAGCGAUAGGUCACAAAUAAGAAAAGUAAGAAGAAUCAACUUGUAGAAGAGAUUACGUUAGCAUAAAAUAAUUGCGUAAUGGCACCGGACGAUUAGCAACGAGGCUUUCGUUUCACCAUUUUCUUUUUAUUUCUGGAUAAAAAAACGAUGAAUUAAGUCUCAGCAAAUAUACGUUUGAUAUCCGUUGAAAAAAAGACGGAGAGAGAGAGAGGGAGAGAGGGAGGGAUGUAGAAAGAACGAGUCGAAAGAGUCUUCUUGAAAGUACUUCGGAAAAAUCAGGACGACGCGAGGAUUCAUCGAUUUUCUACAAAAUGGAUGCGAUUUGAGGCCAAGAGUAGAGAGAUCGAGGGAAAGAAAGAAAGAAAAGAAAGAAACGGAAGAAAGAAAAAAUUUAGUAGUGGAAAGGAAAGGAAAGGAAAG